UUCAAACUUCACCAUCCUCAGCUGAAACAACAACAUCUUAACACCAUCUUCAUGAACUGCUGAGCCAAACUUGAUCCAUCAGUGCUGGACUGCACAGAUAACUACAUGCCACAAGGAGACUGCUGUGUUAUGAACUGCCAUACCAGUGUGUCUUCAAUGGAGAAGAUGACACACCCAUCACCUGACCUCCUGCCUGAUCUGGAGACCAUCAUCAUGCUGCCACACUACACACCUCUGAGACCAUCAAUGAUGACUCAUACUGAGGAAACUGUAUUUCCUGUCAGAGAUGCUCAGUGAUCCUCAGAGCAGAGAGCGGUAUUGCUGUCUUCUGAGUUCUUCAGUGUUCCAACUGAGACAUUCAAACCUCCCUGCAGAGCUCAUGUCUUUCCUCACCAUCAUGCGAGUGUGAGAUUGCUCUGGAUUCUGGUUAUGUGGCCUGCAGCACCUAUAAGAAUAAGCUCGUCCAGUGUGCCUGCAUUCCAGCUUCACAGAAAAGAACAUCAGACACCAGCGAGGGAGGAUAAGAAAGACAGACACAACAACAUUGUCAUCCCCUAUGUAGCCGGUGUAU